GACGAACGCUGGCGGCGUGCUUAACACAUGCAAGUCGAACGGAAAGGCCCUGCUUUUGUGGGGUGCUCGAGUGGCGAACGGGUGAGUAACACGGGAGUAACCUGCCCUUGACUUUGGGAUAACUUCAGGAAACUGGGGCUAAUACCGGAUAGGAGCUCCUGCUGCAUGGGGGGGGUUGGAAAGUUUCGGCGGUUGGGGAUGGACUCGCGGCUUAUCAGCUUGUUGGUGGGGUAGUGGCUUACCAAGGCUUGGACGGGUAGCCGGCCUGAGAGGGUGACCGGCCACAUUGGGACUGAGAUACGGACCAGACUCCUACGGGAGGCAGCAGUGGGGAAUAUUGCACAAUGGGCGGAAGCCUGAUGCAGCAACGCCGCGUGCGGGAUGACGGCCUUCGGGUUGUAAACCGCUUUCGCCUGUGACGAAGCGUGAGUGACGGUAAUGGGUAAAGAAGCACCGGCUAACUACGUG
rnacentral:rRNA from 1 species